GAUGAACGCUGGCGGCGUGCCUAAUACAUGCAAGUCGAACGCAUUGAGAGAAGUGCUUGCACUUUUCAAUUUGAGUGGCGAACGGGUGAGUAACACGUGGGCAACCUACCUGAUAGCGGGGGAUAACGAGUGGAAACAUUCGCUAAUACCGCAUAACAAUAGAGAAGGCAUCUUCUUUAUUUAAAAGGCGCUUUCAAGCGUCACUAUCAGAUGGGCCCGCGGUGCAUUAGUUAGUUGGUGGGGUGAAGGCCUACCAAGACGAUGAUGCAUAGCCGAGUUGAGGGACUGAUCGGCGACAUUGGGACUGAGACACGGCCCAAACUCCUACGGGAGGCUGCAGUAGGGAAUCUUCCACAAUGGACGAAAGUCUGAUGGAGCAACGCCGCGUGUGUGAUGAAGGCUUUCGGGUCGUAAAGCACUGUUGUAUGGGAAGAAAUGCUAGGCUAGGAAAUGAGCUUAGUUUGACGGUACCAUACCAGAAAGGGACGGCUAAAUACGUGCCAGCCGCCGCUGUAA
rnacentral:rRNA from 1 species